rnacentral:rRNA from 1 species
UACAGAGGGUGCAAGCGUUUGUUCGGAAUUAUUGGGCGUAAAGCGCGUGUAGGCGGCUUAGCAAGUUGGGUGUGAAAGCCCUCGGCUUAACCGAGGAAGUGCGCCCAAAACUACUUAGCUUGAGUGCCGGAGAGGGUGGCGGAAUUCCCGGUGUAGAGGUGAAAUUCGUAGGAUAUCGGGAGGAACACCAGUGGCGAAGGCGGCCACCUGGACGGUUACUGACGCUGAGAGCGAAAGCGUGGGGAGCAAACAGG